UACUUUGUAUCAUUUUCUUGUGUUUGGGAGUUCACUUUUGGAGGCGAUGUGUCAGAGAUGAAACAAGAGGAGAUAGAGGUACUGUUUCACUUUGAGGCAACUUAGAACCGCCACAAACAACUUUGACCAAGCCAACAAGAUUGGAGAAGGUGGCUUUGGAUCUGUGUUCAAGGAAAGAAUAGUCAGAGGCUUGAGUGGAAAACAAGGCAGAAUAUAUGCAUAGGAAUAGCGAAAGGACUAAUGUUUCUUCAUGAGGAGUCAAUGGUUAAGAUCAUUCACAGAGAUAUCAAAGGAACCAUUGUAAUAUUAGAUAAGGACCUUAACGCUAAGAUAUCGGAUUUCGGAUUGGCUAGACUGCACGAAGAUGAGAAGAGUCACAUUAGCACCUGAGUUGCAGGAACAAUUGGAUAUAUGGCUACUGAAUAUGCAAUGAGAGGUUAUCUAACAGAAAGGCUGAUGUGUAUAGCU